AGAGUUUGAUCAUGGCUCAGGACGAACGCUGGCGGCGUGCCUAACACAUGCAAGUCGAACGGGGUGAGGCCCUUCGGGACCUUUACCUAGUGGCGAACGGGUGAGUAACGCGUGAGGAACCUGCCUUUCAGUGGGGGACAACAGUUGGAAACGACUGCUAAUACCGCAUGAAGCUUUUGGGAGACAUCUCCUGGAAGCCAAAGCUUAAUGUGCUGAAAGAUGGCCUCGCGUCUGAUUAGCUAGUUGGUGGGGUAACGGCCCACCAAGGCGACGAUCAGUAGCCGGUCUGAGAGGAUGAACGGCCACAUUGGGACUGAGAUACGGCCCAGACUCCUACGGGAGGCAGCAGUGGGGAAUAUUGGGCAAUGGGCGAAAGCCUGACCCAGCAACGCCGCGUGAAGGAAGAAGGCCUUCGGGUUGUAAACUUCUUUUACCAGGGACGAAGGACGUGACGGUACCUGGAGAAAAAGCAACGGCUAACUACGUGCCAGCAGCCGCGGUAAUACGUAGGUUGCAAGCGUUGUCCGGAUUUACUGGGUGUAAAGGGCGUGUAGGCGGAGAUGCAAGUUAGGAGUGAAAUCUAUGGGCUCAACCCAUAAACUGCUUCUAAAACUGUAUCCCUUGAGUAUCGGAGAGGCAAGCGGAAUUCCUAGUGUAGCGGUGAAAUGCGUAGAUAUUAGGAGGAACACCAGUGGCGAAGGCGGCUUGCUGGACGACAACUGACGCUGAGGCGCGAAAGCGUGGGGAGCAAACAGGAUUAGAUACCCUGGUAGUCCACGCUGUAAACGAUGAAUACUAGGUGUGGGGGGACUGACCCCCUCCGUGCCGCAGUUAACACGAUAAGUAUUCCACCUGGGGAGUACGACCGCAAGGUUGAAACUCAAAGGAAUUGACGGGGGCCCGCACAAGCAGUGGAUUAUGUGGUUUAAUUCGAUGAUACGCGAGGAACCUUACCCGGGCUUGAAUUGCAGAGGAAGGAUUUGGAGACAAUGACGCCCUUCGGGGUCUCUGUGAAGGUGCUGCAUGGUUGUCGUCAGCUCGUGCCGUGAGGUGUCGGCUUAAGUGCCAUAACGAGCGCAACCCCUCUCCUUAGUUGCCAUCAGGUUAAGCUGGGCACUCUGGGGACACUGCCGCCGUAAGGUGUGAGGAAGGUGGGGAUGACGUCAAAUCAGCACGGCCCUUACGUCCGGGGCUACACACGUGUUACAAUGGCAGGUACAGAGAGACGGUUGUACGUAAGUACGAUCAAAUCCUUAAAGCCUGUCUCAGUUCGGACUGGGGUCUGCAACCCGACCCCACGAAGCUGGAUUCGCUAGUAAUCGCGCAUCAGCCAUGGCGCGGUGAAUACGUUCCCGGGCCUUGUACACACCGCCCGUCAAGCCAUGAAAGCCGGGGGCGCCUAAAGUCCGUGACCGUAAGGAGCGGCCUAGGGCGAAACUGGUAAUUGGGGCUAAGUCGUAACAAGGUA
rnacentral:rRNA from 1 species